UCGCGAGGGCUACACUGUCUCCUUUCUUAAAUCAGUGAAACUGAUUCUCCCGUGAAGAAGCGGGAAUACCCCUAUAAGACGAGAAGACCCCAUGGAGCUUUAAACUCAACGCACACCUCCUGAAUACCUAAACCCCUAUAACCAAUUUAAAUUGUGCGCUAGUUUUGGGUUGGGGAGACCGCGGAGUAAAACUUAACCUCCGCAACAAACGGAUUAACACCCUUAUCUAAGAACCACACCUCUAAGAAUCAGUAAACUGAUGUCCCAUGACCCAUUUUAUGAUCAACGAACCAAGUUACCCUGGGGAUAACAGCGCAAUCUACUUCGAGAGCUCAUAUCGACAAGUAGGCUUACGACCUCGAUGUUGGAUCAGGGAAUCCCAGUGGUGCAGCCGCUACUAAAGGUUCGUUUGUUCAACGAUUAAAACCCUACGUGAUCUGAGUUCAGACCGGA
rnacentral:rRNA from 1 species